UUGCAGUGAUGUCUUGAAUUUCUUCACCUGAACUUUUGUGUAGAAGUUAUUUUUUUAAACUGAGCAAG